UCCCUGGUGGUCCAGUGGCCAAGACUCCACACUCGCAAUGCAGAGGGCCCAGGUUCGAACCCUGGUCAGGGUA
rfam:TPA: Bos taurus chromosome 4, whole genome shotgun sequence.